rnacentral:rRNA from 1 species
UACGUAGGGGGCAAGCGUUGUCCGGAUUUAUUGGGCGUAAAGAGCUCGUAGGCGGUUUGGUAAGUCAGGUGUGAAAUCUCCACGCUCAACGUGGAGGGGCCACCUGAUACUGCCAUGACUGGAGUCCGGUAGAGGAGUGUGGAAUUCCCGGUGUAGCGGUGAAAUGCGCAGAUAUCGGGAGGAACACCGGUGGCGAAGGCGGCUUUCUGGACAGUGACUGACGCUGAGAUACGAAAGCGUGGGGAGCAAACAGG